rnacentral:rRNA from 1 species
AUUGAACGCUGGCGGCAGGCCUAACACAUGCAAGUCGAGCGGCAGCGGGAAAGUAGCUUGCUACUUUUGCCGGCGAGCGGCGGACGGGUGAGUAACGCCUGGGAAAUUGCCCAGUCGAGGGGGAUAACAGUUGGAAACGACUGCUAAUACCCCAUACGCCCUACGGGGGAAAGCAGGGGACCUUCGGGCCUUGCGCGAUUGGAUAUGCCCAGGUGGGAUUAGCUAGUUGGUGAGGUAAUGGCUCACCAAGGCGACGAUCCCUAGCUGGUCUGAGAGGAUGAUCAGCCACACUGGAACUGAGACACGGUCCAGACUCCUACGGGAGGCAGCAGUGGGGAAUAUUGCACAAUGGGGGAAACCCUGAUGCAGCCAUGCCGCGUGUGUGAAGAAGGCCUUCGGGUUGUAAAGCACUUUCAGCGAGGAGGAAAGGUCAGUAGCUAAUAUCUACUGGCUGUGACGUUACUCGCAGAAGAAGCACCGGCUAACUCCGUGCCAGCCGCCGCGGUAAUAC